GUCAAACUUUCAUAGGGAGAUUAUAUUAGCAGCAAAACACAGCAGCAUCAUUACACGUGGUGAAAUACGACAAUCCGUAACUCUAUUAAUGUGUGUUAAUAUUCAAACAUGAGUGAUAAACAGGGAUUAGAUACCCCUUUAUACAUAUGCCCGACAUAACCUGCGGAGAACUAAAACUAUCUGAGUUAAAACUUAAGCAACAUGGCGGUAAUUCUAAUUUAGGGGAACUUACUUCAUAAAUGAUAACCACCAAGGUUAAGCAACUAUAAAAAAUUCUUGUAUGCCGUCGUCGGCAGGUAAAACCUAAGGUUUUACCAACUUAAUAAUAUUAAAAAGACAGAUCAAGGUGCAGACAAUUUUAUAGUGAGAGCGAGUUACAAUUUAUAUUAUUAACAGCUGCGUUAUACAUGGUAUUUGCAAAAGACGGACUUAACAGUAAUUAAUAAUGAUUAUAUUUAAUGAACUAAUUGAUUGUGCACAA
rnacentral:rRNA from 1 species